GAAGAAGAAGAAGAAGCUGCAACGAAGAAAAAAUUCAUCUGAAUAAGAUACUGAACACAUUCACACAAAACAUGGAACCGAGUAUAAAACAUUGUUUCCAAGCUGUGAAUCUACAACCUAUGUAAAUUGAUACGUUGCAUCCAUAAUCUCUUAGAAAAAUUCUUUCAAUGCGAAGUUUCCUUUCGUACGCCGACAAGUGCACAUCACAGUUCUCACAG